rnacentral:piRNA from 1 species
GGGGCGUGUCCCCGCGGGUGCGGGACUGG